CGCGUAGGCGGGUAUUUAAGUCAGGGGUGAAAUCCCGGAACUCAACUCCGGAACUGCCUUUGAUACUGGGUACCUAGAGUAUGGAAGAGGUAAGUGGAAUUCCGAGUGUAGAGGUGAAAUUCGUAGAUAUUCGGAGGAACACCAGUGGCGAAGGCGGCUUACUGGUCCAUUACUGACGCUGAGGUGCGAAAGCGUGGGGAGCAAACA
rnacentral:rRNA from 1 species